rnacentral:tRNA from 1 species
GGAGGGAUGGCCGAGUGGUUUAAGGCGCAUGCUUGGAAAGCGUGUGGGCGCAAGCCCUCAUGGGUUCGAAUCCCAUUCCCUCCG